CCUACGGGGGGCAGCAGUGAGGAAUAUUGGUCAAGGGACGAGAGUCUGAACCAGCCAAGUAGCGUGAAGGAUGACUGCCCUAUGGGUUGUAAACUUCUUUUAUAAAGGAAUAAAACGAGGCAAGUGUGCCUUUUUGCAUGUACUUUAUGAAUAAGGAUCGGCUAACUCCGUGCCAGCAGCCGCGGUAAUACGGAGGAUCCGAGCGUUAUCCGGAUUUAUUGGGUUUAAAGGGAGCGUAGAUGGGUUGUUAAGUCAGUUGUGAAAGUUUGCGGCUCAACCGUAAAAUUGCAAUUGAUACUGGCAGUCUUGAUUACAGUUGAGGUCGGCGGCAUUCGUUGUGUAGC
rnacentral:rRNA from 1 species